rnacentral:rRNA from 1 species
AACGAACGCUGGCGGCAUGCCUAACACAUGCAAGUCGAACGAGACCUUCGGGUCUAGUGGCGCACGGGUGCGUAACGCGUGGGAACCUGCCCUUAGGUUCGGAAUAACUCCCCGAAAGGGGUGCUAAUACCGGAUAAUGUCUUCGGACCAAAGAUUUAUCGCCUUUGGAUGGGCCCGCGUUGGAUUAGCUAGUUGGUAGGGUAAAAGCCUACCAAGGCGACGAUCCAUAGCUGGUCUGAGAGGAUGAUCAGCCACACUGGGACUGAGACACGGCCCAGACUCCUACGGGAAGCAGCAGUGGGGAAUAUUGGACAAUGGGCGAAAGCCUGAUCCAGCAAUGCCGCGUGAGCGAUGAAGGCCUUAGGGUUGUAAAGCUCUUUUACCCGGGAUGAUAAUGACAGUACCGGGAGAAUAAGCUCCGGCUAACUCCGUG